AGGCGCACCGGGAGGAGGCAACAGCGUCCGUGUGAGCCCCGUGGGGGUUACACCUCAGAGCAACGGAUGAAAUUAAACAAACAGCCCCCCUCCCCCCCAAAAAAACAAAAAACCCAAAGAAACCCAACGCCAGAAAGUGCACCGAAACGCCCCGUAAGGUCAGCGCUGCCUCCUGCCCUCGCCCCUUUGUGCCGCCGUGAAGGCUGAUGCGGGGUCAGGGCUGCCGUGGCGGCCAGGCCCGUCUGCGGCCAUGUGUGCGGAGCUGCUUGCUGGCUUCGGCUUCCCGUGGGCGACGUGGAUCUUUAGCACGAGGAGGGUAGGAGAAAAGACUCAUAAGAAACCUUACUGCUGUUUCUUUUAAGUUACCUUUUGCACCCCCAUGCGCACCAGUCUGAGGACACUGUCUCUAGUUUGGCUCUGGAGGAGAGGAAGAGCUGACACGCACAAAGAUGAGGGUGAAGACCAGACCAGUAAAAGCAGAGAACAAGUUCCAGGGACCGAGGUAAUCAAAAAAAGGCAAUCCAUGUGUUUCUAGCAAAUGAAAAAUAAGAGUCAGUGGUCACUGAACACCUCGUUCCCUUAUGUCCCUUUAAACAUCGUAGCAGAAAGUUGUUGGUGAGUUGGCCCUGGUGGCCUUGUGCUCAUGGUCCCCAGCAUGUUCCUCACAUCCCAUGUUGAGCGCAGCCCUCCCAAGGCGUGUGUUUUCUGACAUGUCGAGAUGGGUGGUACUAUAGCAAUAAGAUGUCACCGUAAAGAGGUUUCUUCCUCCCCAAGCUGUCUCUGAUGCCAGAUGCACUAAUGCCCAGCAAAGCAACUUUGUUGUCGUUGGCAAAUUCUACACAUGGCCUCUUCUCUGCACCUACCUCCUCUCACCUUAGCUGUUGGCCUUAGUUCCCUCCUCCUCCCAGCACCCAGAAGAAAGGGUGUC
rnacentral:lncRNA from 1 species